UUUAAAUUGACGCAACCUCUGGUCAGCGUCGGUGAUCCUAAUGAGCUAUGUAGCUACACUACCCAAUGUUUGCUACAGCACAAUAUUAGCUAGCAUUGUGUGUUAAUUAAUGAGACUAACCUUUAAGAAUGUGUUCUUCCUGAAGUUUCUGCUUCUGAGGGCACAACCAAAUGUGAGCACAAAUGGCACAGCAGGUGCCAUCCAGUUUAAUGGGACUUUUAUUACAUUUAGGGGUUAACGCGGAAAUACAUCAUCGAAUUCUAUGAUAAGGGUCCGAUCGAUCAUGACACAAGGGGAAAUGUGAAGCAGAUGCUAUAAAACCAUACAAAUAAAACACAAAUUCUUCCUUUAAGAUAUUAAUAGUGAAGGUUAAAAGACUCUAGUCAUUUUUGAAGCAUUCACGAGUCUUUUGUGUCAAGUCUGAAGUCAUUUUAGGUUGAGUCUGGAGUCGAGUCUGAAGUUUAUUAAAAUGCGACUCAAGUGAGGCUCGAGUCCAAGUCUCUAACUCGAGUCCCCUUCUCUGGUCUUUAGUAAGAUGAAGCAACGUGACCUUUGUUUUCAGGACACGUGUCCUCAUGCACUGUUGCAAGAGUUCUUGCCUCUGCCCAGAGCUGUUUAGAUGAUCACGUGACAGAGAACCUCAGGCAGUAUGUGUCUAUAUGAGCACUCUGAAAUGAAGACAAGUGUUUGCCAUUGACGAGUUGAAGGAAUGACAGAGUGGCCAAAACAUUUGUUUUCAGAUCUUCACUUCAUUUUUUUUUUUUUUUUUAAUAGUCCAAAUCUAUGUCCUGAUUCUGUAAGAGAAGGAAAGAUGCUCCAGGGUUCAUUGUUAUGUUUUUGGAGCAUGUUUUUUUCCCGCCGUGGAAGAGAGAGAGCCCUUCUGUCGCCAGUUUCCACUGCCAGCUCAGAGGUGCCCAGACACAGCCCGUCAGUUGAUUUCAUGUGACUCGUUGCACAAGGCAAGAGUAGAUGGAGUCAGCUGCGGUGCACCAUUAAAUCACUGCUCCCAUCUCUGCUGGGAUUAUUAAUCAUAUUAGGUUGCCCCUCUUGGCUUGUUGUUAUCUCACGAUCAUCUAUGACUAAUCCGAAUUAUUGCCAGAGGUUUCCAUGCGUGCUGAAUGCUUGUUUGUGUUGUUCAUGCUUUUCCUAAAUUUUCAUUAGCAGAUCAGUCUGUUUUGAUCAACCACUUGAUUAAUAGAAUGAAGGUGAAGUUUGUCGUUUCUGCACUACUAGUCACCAAACUGUAAAAAAAAAAAAAAAAAAAAUGGUAACACUUUCUAUGAAGCCCAUAUUUAUAACGCAUUGUAAAGGCAUUACAAAUGCAUUAUACUGAAUUCAUAAUGUCUCAUAAUACACCUUAGAAUGACUUGUAACUUCUCAUAAACAAUUAUAACUACAGUUAUAAUACAUUAUAAGACUUCCCCUAUUCGUAGUUAUACUUUAGAGUAUAAUGCAUUAUAUAACACAAGCAACAUCCAAUUUUAACGCAGCAGAAGUUAAUAAAGUUAAUCAUAUUAGUGCUGUAUAGUGUAAACAGUUAAAAGGCUUUAUGACAUUAUCAUAUAAGUUGUCUUUGCUUUAAGUAAAGUUACAAAAGCAAUAUCUUCUUAUAAACAGCCAUAACAUAAACUUGUAACAUACAAUACAUCACAAGUCAAACUUAUAUAAUGGAAGUCAUUUAUAACGUGAACAUAAUAUUGUAUUUUAUUUGUGAAUUAUGAACAUUUCAAGUGAAGAGUGUCAAUAGCAGAUAUUUUAUGAUGAUAUCAUACAAUCCUAUAAAUAAAAAUAUAAAUGCCAUAUUGAAUAAACAUAAAAUGGUAUUUAGUGAGAGCUGUACUGUAAUUGCAUUUGGGGCAAGUACCACAUGCAAAAGCUUCCUUUUGGAGGGUGUGUCCAACAUAUUUGCACGUGUAGUUAUUUGCACGAUUUUUCUCAGUAAAUCACCUGCAAAAUGCUCACGACGCGCACAAGCAAUUUCAUAGAUUGCACAAGAAAAUUAGCCCCUGUUAUUUGUGCUAAUUAGUAAAUCGUGGCCAUAAUGUGCUAUCUGGCAAAAAACACGUUAGCUUUCAUGGAUCAGAUUACAUUAUCGGAAAUGAUGUAGUAUGUUGUCCAGCAUCAUGGAGCGCUAAACCAAUCAUAUUAGGAUUCAGAUCGCUGCAACCAGAGGUGGAAGUCAUCCAAAUAUGGGCAGAGAGGAUCAUUCCCUCUAAUUACAUAUGACCACCAGGAGAUGGCGCAGAGUACAUGACACAGACUCAAUGAUGACUCAAAUGGCACAGAAUGGAACUGAAUGAGAUCUUGUUACUCAUGCCUGCAUGCUCUGGAGAGAGAGUAUACCUUUAGUUAAUGUUGUAUAAUUAGUUCUUAUGUACAAUUAUUAUGUUUUAUUUGUUUGGAGAGGCUUUUGGAUGCUUGGAGACGUUUUUGGACACUAGGAUAAAUUAUUUAUGUAAUGCUAUAAUGUUUUUGGAUUGCUUUGUCAUAUCAACACAAAAUUGUACUCAGUUACAGGUAACAUGAUUAGGAACAAAACAACGUUUUUUGGAGUUAUCUUAUUUACACCCUCACAGCAAAUUCACCAAUGUUAAAAUGUCAGUGUUCAAGCAUUUCAGAGUAGAGUGUUGAGAUUCUGGUGGUAGAUUUUGUGAGAUUAACAUUAUUUGGUGUUAGAAACUGGUAUUGUGGGUGUAAAAUCACAGAGUUACAGGUAUCCAACACGUGCCAGUGAUAUUUUAAACAUCCGGGCAUUUGGGCAGUGAUGCGUGACUGAGGAAUUGUCCAGAUGUCAUUUUCCCUCGCAUCGCAGAGAGCAGCAACUGGUGAGUAGAGCUACUUAAAAGUUUGCAUUUCUUAAACAUUUUAUAUCGAAAUGUGUUAAUCUCUGCAUGUAAGUUUAAUUAUUUCAGAUACGCCAACAAAUUUACAUUUAAACGAAUUAUUCGUCGACAUCUAGAAGGCCUGAACUAUCCGAAGAUGUCCUUGACCAUUACUUUCGGUCAUAAAAUAGUGUGUAUUAAAGAGAUUUUUAACGUCUGUGGGUAUAUUAUUUAGCUGUUUUUCUCAUUAAGUAGUUAUUUGUUGUGUACGUCCGGGCAUGUUACGCCAAAAAAAUGUUCCCGCAGGAAAAAUGAAUUCCGCCUAGGUUGCACCACAUAUCUGUCUUAGUUUAGGCAAAUUUGAGUGCACUGUAAGCAGCCGCACAUUCUUAGAAUCAGGUAAACACUACUAUUUAUUAUUUAAUAUUGCCAACUGUCCAGUAUUACCUGGCAAGUCUCGUAUUUUGGCCGAAAUGAAUGCCCAUUGUUCUCUGCCUUCACUGGAUGCGAGCAUUGUGUCAAAGCAGAUAGAUCCCAUUAUAAUCAAUGAAGCUGUGAGAGUAAACAGAUGCCAUGCUCCUUUUUGCACUACACGCCCUGUUUUCCUGCCAACAAAACGGUUUAGAAAGUUUGCUUCGAUGCGUCCAAUGUAGACAGCCUUAAGCCGUUUCGUCACGUCGUGUCAAUGGACAUGCGUGCCUGGUGUAGCUAGACAGUGUGUUAAAGCAGCUUCAAAAGCCCCAGCCGGCGAACGUCCUGUUUCCUAACACGCAUGCAAACCUGUUCAAUGUUGAAGGGAGACCCCUCUUUGUCGACCGUUGGCAACCCUUAUGAUUUGUAUUAUUUAUUAAGUCACAUGUAUCUAACAGUUGCUAAUUGAGACCAUGAUAAUGGUGUUGUGUUCAUCUUAAAAAUAGAACUUAGAAACCAAUUAAUUAGAGGUUUGUUUUUAUUUUUAGCCUUUAGGAUGGCCACAAGGAUUCCAGAGUAGAAAGUGAUCCCAUUGAUAAAAAACAUACUCAAGCAUUCAGCCUCCUCUUUGCACCAGAAACAGCUGCCAAACUGCUUAAAUAGAGGCCGACUGGGCCUGGGUAGCUCAGCGAGUAAAGACACUGACUACCACCCCUGGAGUCAUGAGUUUGAAUCCAGGGCAUGCUGAGUGACUCCAGCCAGGUCUCCUAAGCAACCAAAUUGGCCCGGUUGCUAGGGAGGGUAGAGUCACAUGGGGUAACCUCCUUGUGGUCGCUAUAAUAUGGUUCUCGCUCUCGGUGGGGGGCGUGGUGAGUUGUGCAUGGAUGUUGCGGAGAAUAGCGUGAAGACUCCAACUGCGCUAUGUCUCCACGGUAACGCGCUCAACAAGCCACGUGAUAAGAUGCGCGGAUUGACGGUCUCAGACGCCGAGGCAACUGAGAUUCGUCCUCCGCCACCUGGAUUGAGGCGAGUCACUACACCACCACGAGAACUUAGAGCGCAUUGGGAAUUGGGCAUUCCAAAUUGGGGAGGAAAAAAAAAAGUGGCCGACUUUCUAAUAAAGACAAAAUCUUCAGACAAGCAGUGACUUCUCUUAGGAGUGCUUAAACGUUUGCUGAAGUUUGCCAGAAGCCAAUACAUCACCGAAUCCUUGGAUGAGUGUCCAGGAGCCUAGAAGAGCACUUUGAGAAUCAUGAGGGACAUCAGCAGCAUUACCUUUGUCAGGGACCAGCAAGAAGACAAUCAGCAGCUUUUAUGUUGUGAUGGACAAGAAACUGUUGAAUAUUACUGUUGGGACUGAUUUUGAUGAUAAGAUGCCAUUGUUUGGUAAGACAAAUGGCAAGAUUAACUUUGUUUCACAAAUGGAGACAACAUUUGUAGAGCACUUUCAUGCUUUUUAUGUUUUUAAAACAAGAGCUCAACUUUUCAGUUCUGCCUGGUCCAUUGCAGUACUAAAAGUCCUUUAAAAUUAAGUUGUGUGGAACAAAUCCACUUUUCUAUGUUGUACCAGACAUUUUCUUUGGACGAGUCAGUUAUGUGUUACCUCAUACAGUCAUAUACAGUAUGUUUUGAGUGCUCUGUAAAAAAUGUACUGCAUGUAGA